rnacentral:rRNA from 1 species
GUUACUGCUAUCGGUGUUCGCCUAAGCCAUGCGAGUCAUAUGUUCUUCGUGAACAUGGCGUACUGCUCAGUAACACGUGGAUAACCUGCCCUUGGGUCCGGCAUAACCCCGGGAAACUGGGGAUAAUUCCGGAUAACGCAUAUAUGCUGGAAUGCUUUAUGUGUAAAAUGGAUUCGUCCGCCCAAGGAUGGGUCUGCGGCCUAUCAGGUAGUAGUGGGUGUAAUGUACCUACUAGCCUACAACGGGUACGGGUUGUGAGAGCAAGAGCCCGGAGAUGGAUUCUGAGACAUGAAUCCAGGCCCUACGGGGCGCAGCAGGCGCGAAAACUUUACAAUGCGGGAAACCGUGAUAAGGGGACACCGAGUGCUAGCAUCAUAUGCUGGCUGUCCAGGUGUGUAAACUACACCUGUUAGCAAGGGCCGGGCAAGACCGGUGCCAGCCGCCGCGGUAACACCGGCGGCCCGAGUGGUGAUCGUGAUUAUUGGGUCUAAAGGGUCCGUAGCCGGUUUGGUCAGUCCUCCGGGAAAUCUAAUAGCUCAACUAUUAGGCUUUCGGGGGAUACUGCCAGACAUGGAACCGGGAGAGGUAAGAGGUACUACAGGGGUAGGAGUGAAAUCUUGUAAUCCCUGUGGGACCACCUGUGGCGAAGGCGUCUUACCAGAACGGGUUCGACGGUGAGGGACGAAAGCUGGGGGCACGAACCGGAUUAGAUACCCGGGUAGUCCCAGCCGUAAACGAUGCUCGCUAGGUGUCAGGCAUGGCGCGGCCGUGUCUGGUGCCGCAGGGAAGCCGUGAAGCGAGCCACCUGGGAAGUACGGCCGCAAGGCUGAAACUUAAAGGAAUUGGCGGGGGAGCACAACAACGGGUGGAGCCUGCGGUUU